rnacentral:rRNA from 1 species
AAGGUAGCAUAAUCAUUAGUUUUUUAAUUGAAAGCUGGUAUGAAAGGUUGAAUGAAAAAAUGACUGUCUCUAUUUAAAUUUAUUAGAAUUUUAUUUUUAAGUUAAAAAGCUUAAAUGUUUAUUGAAGACGAGAAGACCCUAUAGAGUUUUAUAAAGUUCUUUUGUUAGUAAUUUUAGAAUUAUAAAAUCUAAUAAAAAAUUUUAUUUAGUUGGGGUGAUUAAAAAAUUUAAUUAACUUUUUUUAUAUAUUAAAACAUUAAUUUAUGGAAAAUUGACCCUUUUAUAAAGAUUAAAAGAUUAAAUUCC